rnacentral:rRNA from 1 species
GUAGGUGGCAAGCGUUGUCCGGAAUUAUUGGGCGUAAAGCGCGCGCAGGCGGUUCUUUAAGUCUGAUGUGAAAGCCCACGGCUCAACCGUGGAGGGUCAUUGGAAACUGGAGAACUUGAGUACAGAAGAGGAAAGCGGAAUUCCACGUGUAGCGGUGAAAUGCGUAGAGAUGUGGAGGAACACCAGUGGCGAAGGCGGCUUUCUGGUCUGUAUCUGACGCUGAGGCGCGAAAGCGUGGGGGAGCAAACAGGAUUAGAUACCCUGGUAGUCCACGCCGUAAACGAUGAGUGCUAAGUGUUAGGGGGUUUCCGCCCCUUAGUGCUGCAGCUAACGCAUUAAGCACUCCGCCCUGGGAGUACGGCCGCAAGGCUG